AGACAUAUGACAACAAAGUUCAUGUUUGACCAUUGAAACCUGGAGCAUCAGUGCCUGUCCACUUAGAGAAACUUAGAAGAAAACUGAAGAUUAAGCCAUCUUUCGUUCAAGAAAUCACUCGUUGUUAUCCGAAGAAACAUCCCCAUCGGGUACAUGGAUGUGCCUCCCUCUUCAAAACCUCUCCAACCUCACUAGUUUCAGCAUCAGGGAAACACAGAUUUUUGGAGAGUGUCCCGUUUACAGACUCUCCCAACUGAACUAUGGAGCUCUGCAAGUUACCAAGUCACCAUGGGCAUCUUGGCCACUUCUCUGACCUCUUUUCUGGCCAGUCAGUUUCAGUGAAAAGCCAUGUCUUGGAGCAACUGACUCAUCAAUUUGAGCUUCUACGAGCAUUCAGCAUCAACAGAAAGAGCAUCUGCAUGGUCUCAAUUCUAUCAAAGUGACAGAAAUAUGUGUUAUAUAUACUGUCUCAGAGGAUGAAAAGCUGUUUACCUAAAACUACAAAUUUCCAUAGCCUAUUGGAACAUAAGGUAAAUAUGCAAUAGAGUGAUAGGGGAAAAAAUACUUAUUUAAUAAAUUAACGAAGAGAAGUAAAGAAAAUGUUUUCAGCUGAUAGACCAGUUAUAGAACACACAAAAAGUAUGUCUUUUCAUAUUUCCUUUAAUUUUCUUAUCAAUCAUUUUAUCAUAAAUUUAUCAUUUUUUAUUUUAUUUCAUUUAGUUUUAUUCAUUUUUUUUUUCAUCAUUUUAAUUAUUCUUUUUCAUUAUUUGUAUUUGUUAAUUAUUUAAUUAGCUUUGUGCCACUGUAAUGUACAGCUCUUAAUGUAUGUUAUGUACACACAACAUUAACCGGAACAAAAAAAAAAACAUAUUGUAAAUUAUUCCUGAAUAAAUAAUGUCUUAUAUAAAAACAGAGAGGGAGCCAGCUAACAUUAGCCUAACACCUCAGCAAACGUCUCCCUGUGCAAAGAUCCCCAGCAGAGUGAGAUGCAUGUUUACUGAAAUCUUUUUAGAGCUGUAGAGUGCCCACAAACGUUUUGUGGGGCUGAGAUCAGGGCUUUGUAAUGGCCAAUUUAAAACAUUGACUCUACUGUCCUUAUGUGACUUUGUGUCCAUUUGGAUGAUUCGUUGCAUCCAAGCUUUAACUUCCUGUUAUAUGUCUUGAGUUGUUGCCUUAAUAUUUUCAAAUAAUGUUCUUUCCUCUUGUUGCCAUCUAUCUUCUGAAGGGCACCAGUCUAUCCUGCAUCAACACCAUCCUCGUACUUCAGAGAUGAGAUUGUAGCAAUCUUAGUUUCAUAAGACCACAGGACUGGUUUCCAAAAAUGAUGUCAUUGUCCUUGCAAACUAUGAUCCGACUUUUUUAUCAAUACCUUUUUGCCUUUUUGAGUUCAUGCUGCUUUUUUUUUUACCUCUGUUGGACUUCACAGUUAUACACUUUAUACAUUCAUGGCCCACUCCCACUGCAGCCACAGUCUUCUACUAAUCUCACCAGGGGUUACGAGUUUUGCUCAACUGCAUCUCAAUGUUGUGUUGUGAAGCGGGGAGAACACACUUUUGUGUCAUUCUUCUUAAAUCCUCCUGUCACAAACCUGUAUGAUUGCCCAAGGGCACCCAAGGCAUUGGAUAGAAACCUCCAUUCCCAACUAAUUUCUAAAACCUCGCCCUGCCGCCUCGCAGCCUAAGCAAGUUUGAUUCGUCUAUCACCCCUGCGAAUAAUCAAAGCUGCUGUUUUUCUCUGUGGUGGCACAGAUAAAACAGUAAUUAAGAUAAACAUAAAUCUGAAGGUACUUAGAGUAAGGUGCCCUUUCUCUGGAUCUUGAGCACAUAAAAGCCCAAUUGAAGGUGCCGGUGUGAAUCUUGCAGCCAUGAGGAGGGUUGGCAGUAGCCGUAAACUCAUUUACCAGCCUUUCACUUCAAGCUAAUGGCUAAAUGAACAAUGACUUACACCCUACCUGGUCUCAUUAAACAUGACAUGUUUUAGGAUUCUACGCAGCAUUAAGCCAAUAUUGAUACAAAGCCCACUCGCCUCCCACUGUUAAACCUCUGGGUCGUGCUGUGCUAGGUGGGCUGAGGGAAGGGAAGGAGUUGUUGUGGGGCUGAACAGCAGUGUGCCUCCUCGCAAAGGUUUGUAAAGAUUACACCAAAUUAAUUAGGUUUCUGUUACUCUAAAUGACUUAUCUGAGGCCCAGCCUCCCCACUGGAUGCAAGACUCAACCUCAUGUGAUGCAUGCUAAUAAUACAUGUGUAGCUGUACUGUAGUGAGGGACCUUAAAUCUGGCUUACUCACUGCUUCCCAAAUGACUGCAUGCUAUCACUUGGGUUUUUGUGACAAGGCCGUGGCAAUUAGCUAGGGACAUGGAGGUGGAAGAAAUAAAAAAAAAAGGCAGAACACAUAAUAAAAAUUAAAUAAUUGCCUUGGUAAUUAUCCUCAUCUUUCUCACUCAAUGUCACAUGGAGACGCUGGCAACGCUCUGUAGGGAGUGAGGAAUUAGUCUGGGGCUUUUUUGUUGCUCUGUAAACUGGAUUAGUGCUCUGCCUGUCCCACCGUGGCAGGGGAGUGAUUGGAUUAACGGUGUGGAGAGCAGAGCAGCAUGGCAGGGGGAUAGAUUACGAGCCCAGACGGUCUCUUCGAUGGGUGUUCUGCUGGCUUCGUAGGGAGCCUUUGGGAGGCUGCAGACAUCUUAAAGGGUCCCCGAUAACCAUCUAGACACACUCGCACUCCCUGCUCUAACCGUGCUGCUAUCUCUGCUCUCCCAGCUCAAACAGCAGCGAACACAAGUUCACUCGGAGAGGCUAUGAUGUCCAUUAGGGCCCUCCCUGCUGCGCUGCUGCCAAGUGGAGAUAAAGUGGUAUCUCCUCUGGCUGGUGCAUACUGGUGGGUGGUGAAACUUUCUGAUGGAUUUUUUUACUCACAUAUACACAUUCACAAAGUGCAGUUGCUUGCAUCUAAUGUCAUGGUUUAUUUGUCUCUGAAUUCAACAGGUUGUUAAAACAAUGAGCAAGCUCAUCAGUUCUUGAAGUAAUUUAUUUAGUCCAUUUGCAUAUUGCUUAAACACCCAAAGAAUAGAAGGAGGUAGACCUAUUGUGAUGAUAAAGUUAUCAUAAAGGUGUUUUGUUUUUACUUUUUUAAUUCCAGUAAAUCAAGUGAAAAAGUUAAACGAAUAUAAUAUAAAGACUCAUUAUAUUCUCCAGAUCAAAGUUGUAAGACUGGGAAAAAGUUACAACUACUGCUUGAUUGGUAUCACGUUGUACUUAAAAUGCAAAAAAAAAAAAGGAGUCAGCAACUAAAGAAAGAGUGGACAACUUCUUGAAAAGAUGGAAUUUGAACUUAGGUUUGUGAGCUGAUCGAUUGAUGAUCAACCUAAAAGCAACCCAAAACAGGAUUAAAAGGGUAAAUAAUGACUUAGUAGUGAGUGGUCUCAAUGCCUCUGCUGAAUAGUUCUAAAAUUUGUUUAGAAAUGCUUGAUGCUGCCAGGAUCUGCCAUUUUGGAUUUUGUGUUAGCUUACUUUCUCAGUUAGGUGUUUCUAUUCCUUUGGGUUUAGUAGUUAUGUUUGUUUAUUCUUUCUGUCAUCCUGAUAGUUUUGUUCUCUCUCCUACCCCUUAGUUUAGUAGUUCUUUCUCCCUUCGCCUAUAGUUCCCUUGGUGGUUGCUUUCUCAUUUAUUUAUUACUUAGAAUGGUUUUCUCCUCUGGUUAUUAUUAGUACAAUUGUCCUUGCUUCUCUGGGUUUUGUAGUUUAGUUUCUCACUUACACAAUGUUUGUUGGAUGACUCAGUCAUCACUGCACAGAUGAGGAAUCUCAGUCAAGAGUGAUGCUGGCUGCAACAUCCCCACAUUGACAGCAAUGACUUGACAUCCCUGCACAACCAGAAGCUCCAUUGUUCCACUGAAGGAAGAAAGUAUAAUCUCUGUUAUGCCAGUAACACUGGAAGCCAUUAGGACGAUUACGUUCAAAUUUUUGCUAUCGGCGGAUAAAACUUUCAACCACUUUUCAAUGUCAGUGUUUGGUAUUCCCUUGCUUGGUUAAAAAGGGCAAGUUUGUGGUCUCAGAGAACUUGUAGCAUUUGAAGACAUUGUUUGUUCUUUAAGCCAUUCUCUUGUAAAUGCAUUCUUGUGGUUAUGGGGCUGCAGCCAGCAUCAGUAAUGGCCUUAAUGUUCUGUCUGUGUCUUCACUGCCAGUCAAGCAGAUACUCUAGCUUAGCUUAGGUGGUCUAGCAGUUGACUUUUGUUUGUCACACCUCCUUCAGGGUCUUAACCAACAUUUUAAAUAGGGCUCUUACUAUCUCCAACCCCAGCAGAGAUGAGUUUUUGCAAGAUGUCUUGCUUGUGUAUCUCAACAAUUGUGCAUUUGUGCUCUCUACAUUGAAAGACAGAAAAUGUUUUGGUCUUUGCCAUCAAGGCUCCAUAAGUGUAAAUUACUGACAGAAAACAGCCUGAAAGUCACUAUCAUACCCUAAUUUGGGCUUUUUGAGACUAAUGAGUUAUCAGUUUUGAAUUUAAAAUUGCUUGUGAUAAAUUGCA